ACCAGCCGCACGGGAGCUCCCCUAGCAGAGGGGGUGCCAUGACAGGGCGAGGAGGGAGCCUGGGCUUUCUGGUGAGGAUAAUUGUGUUUCUCCGUUUGCAAGGAUUGGGAGCCUCCGUGCCUUGGGUGGUCUGAAACUGGGGUUCCAGUCUCUUAAGCUGAACCGAGGAAGAGUUUCUGCUGUGAUUAGAUUGCUUUCUUUCUCUAACUUGUCUGGGCUCUUAUCGCACAGUCCUCCUCCCUUUGAAAGAAUGUACUCUGCAGUAGCCUGAAAGAAUACAUGCCCAGUAAAGUUAUUUUGUGAUGGUUAUUUCAUUCCGCCUAAACUCCAUGGUAAUACUGCUUAACAAGGAAAUGAAAACACUUUGUGAAUUCCUUUGGGGCAGUAGCUGUGUCACACAGGACUUCGGCAUGGUCCACCUCCCGGGCCCUUUUCAGACUCGGUAGUUUUAAUGAGUAACCUGAAUGGUUAACAUUAUACCAUGUUACCUCUUCCUUUGAUGCAGAAAUGUCUGUUAUUUCACUAUUAUUAUAUUGCUCCCUCUUUUGUGUCAAGGUCUUUGUAAAUAAUUUCUCCCAAGCUGUGCAGAUCAUUUUGUAGGCUUUUCAUCUAAGCAGAUGAAAGGUUUAAUUCAAGUCGGAGAAGCUUGCAUCGAUUACAGGCCCUCCCUGCCAGAGUCAACGGGCGUAAGCCGAACAUCCCUGUCGCAGAAAAGCUGUGAAGAAAACUGCGGACGGACCAGCUGCCUGGAGGCAACAGAAGUCACCCAAUCUUCCUGGAAAAGGCUUAGACCAACUGAGGCACCAGGAAAGGACCCUCCCACCUGGUGCACUGUCUGCAGGCUGUACCGUAAGCUCCAGGUUCCCAGCCAUGCUAGGGUGGGCUUUGGUGACACAACUGUCUUUUGGUUCAUUUCAGCCCCUGUAAGUAACUCCUCAGCCAUAUUUCUGAGACUAAUCGCAAUAAAAUCUAUUGGUUCACCAAA